UACGAAGGGGGCUAGCGUUGCUCGGAAUUACUGGGCGUAAAGCGUGCGCAGGCGGUUUUGUAAGUCUGUCGUGAAAUCCCCGGGCUCAACCUGGGAAUUGCGAUGGAGACUGCAAGGCUAGAAUCUGGCAGAGGGGGGUAGAAUUCCACGUGUAGCAGUGAAAUGCGUAGAGAUGUGGAGGAACACCGAUGGCGAAGGCAGCCCCCUGGGUCAAGAUUGACGCUCAUGCACGAAAGGCGUGGGGAGCAAACAGG
rnacentral:rRNA from 1 species